GGUUCGAUUCCGGCUCGAAGGACUUCGUG
rnacentral:piRNA from 1 species